rnacentral:piRNA from 1 species
UGCUAAGGUGUCAUUACAGUUUGGCUGUA